AAAACUUUUAACAACGGAUCUCUUGGUUCUGGCAUCGAUGAAGAACGCAGCGAAAUGCGAUAAGUAAUGUGAAUUGCAGAAUUCAGUGAAUCAUCGAAUCUUUGAACGCACAUUGCGCCCGCCAGCACUCUGGCGGGCAUGCCUGUUCGAGCGUCAUUU
rnacentral:rRNA from 1 species